GUUGGCAAACAGUAAUGGGAGUUUUUAGUUGCUCUUUAAUACAUACAUUGUCCUUAAACAAGAAUAGCAAAUAACUCUGAACUAAUAGAUGGAAUACAAUUCAACAAGCCUUUAACAUAUAGAUAUUGGGUGAUGUUUUGGGAAUUGAAUAUUUCACAGCCCAAACUAAAGGGAUUUGUAAAUAAUAGAAGAAGCAGGCAUAAAAUUAACCAUUAUGCAAACUAUGGUAUGAUUCCUAAAUGAUAUGUUAAAAUAAGAAACCAAAUUAGUACUAUUACUGGGACAUAGAGUGACAAUUCUUCCAAUAAGAACUACAGAAGCCUUACCAGCAAUGGCACUUGAACUGGACAUUGAAAAUGGCUAAUACUCAACAUGCUGCAAAGGACACUCAGGGCAGGAUCUGAGAUAGUAAAGACCAUGUUUAGAGUAUAGUCUGUGGUACCCAGGGCCCAGAAGUCUCACCAGCCACAGGGGCCUGGGUCAUGGUGUUGUCCAUGAUCUAAUUGUGAAGACACCAGUCUUCCAUGUUGAGGAGUUUGGAUGUUAUUUUGUGUGUGAUUGCGAUCCUCAAAGAAUUCAGUUGAAAACUAGAUCUACAUUUAGAAAACUAAAAUAAUAGACUGAAGAAGUUGGUGUGAAGUGAGGAUAUGACAUAAGUAGGCUGUUUAAUCUGUGCUACGGAGCAAUGAGAACCUGAUCUUUGGAAGUUGCAGCUGAAAUGUGAAAAAUAUGUACUGUAAAAAUGCACUUAUUCCUGAAUAAGUAAAUUGUUCUCUCUUAAUCUGAUUCUUCAGAAUAGUUACUGACUGUAUCAACCAUCAGAUGCUACUAGUGAGGAAAAAAAAUAUAGUAGGUAAGUAGGUUCAGUAAGACAGUUACAAAUUAUGUUGGCCAAAGAAGCAUGUAUGUUUUUACCAAUGAUGCUUAUUUGUACAUCUGAUACUCUUCAUAAUAACAUUAUGUUGGGGAAAAAUAUGAUAUUAAAAAUAACAAUGAAAAGUAGGAUUGAUCUCUUGCCCAUUGAAGCAAAUUUAGCAAAUUGUUAAUAUUUUUAAAAUCAUAGUUUAUGUCUAUAAUUUUGUUUUCUACAUGUUUAAAUAGUCCACAUUUAAAAUAAUGGAUUUAGUUUCCAACAAUGCUUGUUUGAAACAGUGUAUAUUUUGUAAGUUUCAGAUAAUGUAUACAUUUAAAAACCCAUUUCACUGCUUAAAAACAAAAAUUAAACAUCUGAAUUUUAUGAUUUUUUAGGACUUUUAACCUUAUAUAAAUGCAACAUUUAUGUUGGAGAACGAGGGAAGAAAGUUUAUUAAACAUAUUAUUGAUGUUAUGAACUUAAAACUGCAUGAUAAUUCUUCUUAGCAUGUUUUACUGCACAAAGCAGGUGAUGAAAUUCUAAGUAUCAAAAGAUUAAAAGUAUUAUAAUCAAACCUAAAUUAGUUUCAAGGCUUACAGACCCCUUGAUGUCAAGGACACUGUGCCUCUCCAUCUGCACUAGCUGCAACAUUAUAGCAGGACUUGCCUGGACUGGAGUGCAUCUAAUACUUCUUGCAUGCAGGGAUGAAAUACAAGUUUUUGAAAUGACUUUUCUCAAGACUUCUGGGAAAUGUCAAUAAAAAGUAUUGUUAAUCCACCCAACAAGUAAAUAUCCUAUCACUGAAAGAAUGAAUUUAACUUGAAAACCUCUAAGACAUCAGAUAAUUUCCAGAACCAUUCUAUUGCUUACAUAAGUAGCUUUAUACUUUCAGAUCUAAAUAUGGGUUGAAAAUUUGAAAUAAAUUCAUUAAUACAUUUGUAAGCACGAUUUAGUUUAUUAACUUGAACAAAUCAUUUAACAAUUAUUAGGUACUUAUAGAGCAGGCCUAUUUGAAUUUUAGUGAUUAUGGCUUUUCCAGAACUUCUAUACUUGAAUUCUGAGGCCCCCUUUUCUGUGCUAUCUCCAAACCAUAUUAUUUUGAAAUUGAGUAACUUAUACUUUCCUUUUUUAUUGGGCAGUUAUUCAGGUUAUUUAUUGAAUAGAACAGUUUGUUGUUGACAAUCUCAGCAAAGAGUUCUCUGACAACAGAGGGGAGGAAAAUAGAAUGUCAAUCUGAGAUAGCUAUGUAUUUGUGAAAGUCUAACUGCAAGAAGAAGUUGAUCUUGGACAAAAAUGCAAAUAAUGCCAUUAUUAUUAAUGAGUAUAUACAGUGUCAAAAAUCCAAGUUCUUCCAUGUGUUUGGUUUAUGCAUUAUUUCUAUGAGGAGAGAGGAAUGAGGGGGUUGAAAUCAGAGAUGGGGAGGGGAGUUACUUUGGUGUAAUAACAGCCAUUGAGCUUUAGCUCUUAGGAGUGUGUGCUGGUGACCCUGCAGGUCAAACUAAGUUUAGAGCAAGUGAGUCAGUUAACUUCCCAAGAUGAUACUGGGUUCAUUCUCUCUAUAUGCAACAAAAUACUAGGUUUUCUGAAAUUCUCACAGCAUUGAAAACACCAUUGCAAUUAUUUCAGAGCUCAUCAUCCAUUCUGGUAGGAAUUAUUAUUAAGGGAAACAGGAAGACUUUGAGCUGCAUGGACUGAGUCUCUAACUGCAUCAUGCCUGAUGGAGAGAGAAGAGGUUACUAAUGGCCCACCUACCCAUGGGGGCUAGGGCCAUUUAUUAGCAAAACGACAACUUUAAAUAACUGUGUCUCAAACAAUCCAUCCUUGAAUAAAGGAGGGAUGGCCAAUGUCUACCAGUCUUUAAUACAAAGGUUAAAUUUUGGAAAGCUGAUUACACCUGAGAACAAUUAGCUAAUAAUUCCCCUGAGUAUUUUCAUGAAAUCUAUGUACUGGUAGUUCCUUUGGCUCAAGGUGUUCUUUAUGAACAAGACAAAAAUUAAAUGACUAUAUGUAGUGUUUUGAUGACUCAGUCAGUGGCAAAUAUGAUUCCACUGAACUGACAGCUGAGUUAUCUGUAGCACAUUUAGAUUUCAGGUAUAUAAACUUGUUUAGGAGUUUGAUUUUCC
rnacentral:lncRNA from 1 species